UCAGCGGCCACGGAGACAUCCACCGACCAGGUUGAGUCUGAGAUGGAGGCAGGAGCAGGAUAGCUGCCCAGAGGAAGAGUGGUCUUGCCCAGGCUUGUCAAGCUCCGAAUAAUGUUACAAUCUGCCUUCUGCCUAAGUGGUAUUUAAACAGACCCAUCAGGUUGAGGGUGUCUGUCAAGACCCAGCAAACGGGUAUCGACAACGGAUCAGACACGGAUUGACUUUCCCUCUGCAUCAAUAUAAGACCAUCCAAAUGGAAUACCGGAUGGGACAGGAGACCACAUAUCUGUCCCUCAACGAAGAAUAAUGCAGCCAUAAACUAUGCCUAUCAGACAUCUGCAGUGUCCUGGCAGAUGAGCUGCAUAACAUUGCCAUGUGUCAUGGAUGUCUCUUGGAAAUAAAUGAGGACACAGUACAGGACUUCAGAAUUUCCACCGUCUGUUCUCCCUCCAUAACUACCCCCUGCUCCAGCCUACUGGGUCUGGCCUCAAGAUCUUCAGCCAGUGGAGCUGCAUGACGUUUACUGUUAAUUUAUUGAAUGGCUUUGUUGCAUGUGUUAAUGUAAAAUAAAUGAUUUUCACAAGAAGCCUGCAUGGUUUGUACACAUUGAUUUAUCGUUAUCUCUCGUUCUUUGUUUACCUUAUAUGUUCCUUCACUCCUCCUCUCACCUGCCCUGCAUUACCCUCGUUAACCCUGCCCUUCUGUGUUUUCCCCACACCUGCACUGUCUUAGCCUCGUCAGUCUUGCCCUGCUUCUAGUAUCCUCCCCAGCCUAUCAACUCCCAGCCUGCCCUUGUGUUGUGCCAUCUGUUCCUUGUUGUCUGAUUAGUUCAAUUUGUAUAUAUGUUCAGUUUUCUGUUCAGUCCUUGUCGAGUUGUCUGUUCUGUUCUGUUCCGGGAGUGUGUUCUGUUCAUCCUGCUCAGCUCAGCCAGCUUUUGUGUUUUUGCUUGCAAGUCCCAGAAAUAAAGGUUUCAGUACUUG